GGGCCUGCUUGGAGGCGGCACAUUUCAAGACGUCCCUUGAGGCACAGGAGAACACCUCUAGGGGCACAGGAGGAUAACUGCAUCCCCUCAGCUGAGACCCCAAAGGCUGAGAAUACAUGAUAGAGGCUUAAUUUCCUUGUAUCCCAAGAGAGGAGCCAGACCACACAUACAGGAUAUGCCAAGAAGCAGAAAACAUAUCCAGAGACAGCAUUGAAUGAUUGGAUGAAUGAAAGCUUGGACCAGAAAGAACAGCUUGGCAUCCCUCUUCUCUCUCGUUGAAUGCAGGACUCUGACUACUUGGUAGUCAGCCGCUGGUCAGUCCAGUCUCUGCCUUGGGAGAGCUGCUAGCCGCAGAGAACUCCUCUUUUCUCUGGCUGCCCACACGGAGGAGGGGACUUCCA
rnacentral:lncRNA from 1 species